CGGCGGCUGGCCUUAGGGGAGGAGGCAGAGGGAGGAGGAGGAGGAAGAAUUAGUCGGAACUCCAGCGCCGGCGGCGGCGGCGGCGGCGGAGGAGGAGAAAGGAAAGAGGAAGGGGGAGCGGCGAGAGGCGGAGACGGAGCCCGACAGGGGCGGCACCACGGCACGAGCCCCGCACAGUCCAGUGUGAGGGGAGCGGCGCUAAGAGCAGGCGACGCCGCCGCCGCCACCACCACCGCCAUAGAUACACUCUCAUCCUACGGGCCACGCCUGGGCCUUGCUGCCAGGAAGCUUCGGCCCCGCAGCUCGGCUUGCUGCGGUCUCAGGUUUCUUUACCUCCAGAAAGAAGAAUAUUGGCCCCUUGAAUUCUGGAAGUUCAUUGAAGAGUCUGAAAUUAGGGACUUAUUUCAAAUUUGGACAUGGCUAGUCGAGGCGCAACAAGACCCAACGGGCCAAAUACGGGAAAUAAAAUAUGCCAGUUCAAACUAGUACUUCUGGGAGAGUCCGCUGUUGGCAAAUCAAGCCUAGUGCUUCGUUUUGUGAAAGGCCAAUUUCAUGAAUUUCAAGAGAGUACCAUUGGGGCUGCUUUUCUAACCCAAACUGUAUGUCUUGAUGACACUACAGUAAAGUUUGAAAUAUGGGAUACAGCUGGUCAAGAACGAUACCAUAGCCUAGCACCAAUGUACUACAGAGGAGCACAAGCAGCCAUAGUUGUAUAUGAUAUCACAAAUGAGGAGUCCUUUGCAAGAGCAAAAAAUUGGGUUAAAGAACUUCAGAGGCAAGCAAGUCCUAACAUUGUAAUAGCUUUAUCGGGAAACAAGGCCGACCUAGC
rnacentral:lncRNA from 1 species